GCCUUCUUGGUUCAGUUGGUUAGAGCGCUGGUCUCACCCGACUGUAUGAGUAGUUAUAUAGCUAUGCAAUCCAGAGGUCACAAGUUCGAACCUUGUAGGGGGCA